rnacentral:rRNA from 1 species
UGAGGAAUAUUGGUCAAUGGGCGAGAGCCUGAAACCAGCCAAGUAGCGUGAAGGAUGACUGCCCUAUGGGUUGUAAACUUUCUUUUAAUAAAGGAAUAAAGUCGGGUAUGGAUACCCGUUUGCAUGUACUUUAUGAAUAAGGAUCGGCUAACUCCGUGCC